AGGGGAGAUAGCCUGCUUUACAAGUUCAAUAGUUUUUUUUGGUCAACAGAUGAUACCAGUUUUCAUUCUCUAAGAAUACUAAAUGGCAGAAUAAAACAAGCCUUCCGAAGGCUGCACCAUCCAGCAGCUAAUGGUAGAGUAAGAUCAGCUGGAUGAUAGAGGAAGGGGAUUGAUGGGUUAGGCCCUGAUCUCACAAUAAACAUUUUCAAGGGAUGAGACCCGAAUCUCUGAAAUAGGUCCUCCAGAGAAUAAAGCUGAAGCGUUUCUACUCAGCUAAUCUGGCUGACUUGUUUCCAAUAUUUAAUCCAGUAAGAAAAACAUCCCAAACAGCCUGUUUAAUUCAGUUUAAAUUAACCCGGAAAAAUUGGAUUUCUUUAACCAUUUUCUUAAUGAAUAGGCAGAGAAUCCCUUUCUGGUUAGCAGGUACCUUGGUAUUACUAUUACUUACAUUAUAUGCCAAUUUCCAUACUGUUAUAUAUUAAAAUACAUGAUGGGCAAAGCAUUCCAAUGCCACUAUGGAAUGCCCACAUUCCUGGUAGAGUCAGUCAUCAAGUGGAUGAUAGGAUUCAAUGAACUGGAACAAUUAUCUCCAUAAAAAUUUUUAAAGGUUAAUUCGAGUCCUCCAUGGUCUGAUUUAAUUCCUGGAUUGUAUGUGCAAAAGUUUCUCUGGAGGCAUUUCCAACACAGAACAGCAUACUUUCAUCACUGCUGCUUGGAAAACCACAUGGAAACAUUUAAGUUAUGGUUAUGUUAAGUUAAACAGUCAUAUAGCUCAUUAAAUAUGCUUUAUCUGGCAGCAGCUACUUUUAGAACCCACUAGACUGGCGAAAUGAUUAUGCUGUGUCCACAAAACUGGAGUGAGAUCUGAGUCCUAUAUUAAAAUUUACCUGAAGUGUUUGGGCCUGGUACAUCUGGAUAAGAAAUGCCCAUCUUCUAUAUUCUAGUUGAAUUCUCUAUGGGAAUGAGCAAUAUUGGAAGGGAAUGUGGCACUAAAGAUAAUCUGUAACGAAUAUAGCCAAAACAGAUGAUCAAAAACAGAUUUUUUGUCAACAGAUGACAUCAUUUCCUAAUCUACCAAUUAUUAAGUGGCAGACCACUUUACUAGACUUGGCUACUGGCCCACUAUUGAAGGGAUAGGCCGGAUGAUAAAAGAUGGAGGCAGGCUGGGGCUCCCCUCCUCUAUUAUCCGGAUAUAAAAUCGCAUAAUUUUUUGAGGUGUGAAACAAUUUAACAUUCCCUGGAUGGAAAACCCAAUCACUUCCAGAUGGUUUAUCUGGUCAAUGGAGAUUUCAUAUUAACUAACGAAAAUCUGGAUUUCGAAUUUAUACAAAAAUCAUGCCUAAUCUAUGUAGUUUCGUCAUGUCUUAUCUAUUUAAUAAAUGAGAAUUCUGUUCGUUAUCUUACCUCUAAGUUGCAAUAUCUGGACAUAUUGGAUGGCUGGUGGUUGGAACCUGUAGAAAAACAAGCACCAAUUAGUAUGAAGGAAUAAACAUCAAACAUUGGAUGCGGAAAGAAAAAUUUAUUUACUGCUAUAAUUUUUAUCGCAGAUAAUAUAUCUGCUUUGAAAACUAAAUCACACUUGAUAAACCCCUCACUUACCACUUGUUAAGUUUUUUGUUUUUUUUUUUUACACCUCUUUCCAAUCAGAGAGAUUACUGAGAAGUGGGGCCAGUUCUAACCAUGGGUUGCACUCGCACUCACACCCACGGAGGCUGGCCAGAUGUUGAAAAACAGGGAUUGCCAAGCCGGGCCCAGCACCCCAAAAAAACUUUUCAGGAGAUGCCACACCUGGGACAUGAACCAUGUCCUCCUG
rnacentral:lncRNA from 1 species